CCCCUUGUGCACACCUUGUAGGCACCCAAACCCACCUAUGUAUUCCUUCAUCUCACACUCUGUUGAAUGGUGCCAUGGGACGCAUCUAAAGGAUUAUUUGUAAAAAAGUAAUCAUAGAAACAACUUUCAACAAUGGAUCUCUUGGCUCUCGCAUCGAUGAAGAACGCAGCGAAAUGCGAUACGUAAUGUGAAUUGCAGAAUUCCGUGAAUCAUCGAAUCUUUGAACGCACCUUGCGCCCCUUGGUAUUCCGAGGGGCAUGCCUGUUUGAGUGUCAUUGAAACCCUCAAGAAGAAAGUCUUUCGGGGCCUUCUUUUUGGAACUGGAGUGUGCUGGCCUUUUCGUGGAAGAGCCCAGCUCCUCUGAAAUGCAUUGGCGAUGUGACAUCCUCAUGCCAUCACGCUUCUCUAGCAUUGAUAGUCUCUUUCAUGCUUUAGUGUGUUGUGCUUAGGUGGAAAGUUUCGCUCGCUUACAGACCCAUUGGGGGU
rnacentral:rRNA from 1 species